rfam:Astyanax mexicanus Tnplaced_Scaffold2911, whole genome shotgun sequence.
AUUGGUACUCUAACAACAGCACUGAUCUUUCCAUAGUAAUUAGUAAGUGCUAUUUGUUGGGGUAGUUUGA